AUUGAACGCUGGCGGCAGGCCGAACACAUGCAAGUCGAACGAGUGGCGGACGGGUGAGUAAUGUCUGGGAAACUGCCCGAUGGUGGGGGAUAACUACUGGAAACGGUAGCUAAUACCGCAUACCAUCGGAUGUGCCCAGAUGGGAUUAGCUAGUAGGUGGGGUAACGGCUCACCUAGGCGCCGAUCCCGAGCUGGUCUGCGAGGAUGACCAGCCACACUGGAACUGAGACACGGUCCAGACUCCUACGGGAGGCAGCAGUGGGGAAUAUUGGACAAUGGGAGCAAGCCUGAUGCAGCCAUGCCGCGUGUAUGAAGAAGGCCUUCGGGGUGUAAAGUACUUUCAGCGAGGAGGCGUUACUCGCAGAAGAAGCACCGGCUAACUCCGUGCCAGCCGCCGCGGUAAUAC
rnacentral:rRNA from 1 species